ACACACACACACACACACACACGCACACACGCACACACACACCUGAACUCUGUCUGAGUGGCCCUUCUGGUAGCAGUCUAGACAGCAAGGCAAGGCAGAAGGAAGACGCUGCCUUUGAUAGCUGGGCCCCCCUCUUGCCCUGGAGCUGACUUACCCCAUUGCUGCUGCUGCUGCUGCUGCAGACAAAGAUGAUGAUGGUGAUGAUGAUGAUGAUGAUGAUGAUGAUGAUGAUGAUAAUCCCAUCACUGAUUUCAGAGCCUGUGUUUCCAGGCUCCCAUCAUGGACUAGGGACCAGCAGCUCUCCAGGAAACAACACCCAGGUUUUCGACAUCAGAAGACUGGGACUGCCUAUGCUUACAACCUUGUGGCCUGAGGAACUAACUGGUUCCCAGUGAAGAGCCUUCCCAGUGAGAGCCACUGUGAGACUCAACCCUUCCUCCUAGUGUCUGGCACCUUCCACCGGGGUGACCUGGAUAUAAAGAAUCCCCCCCACCCCACCCCACCCCAGUGGGAGGCAGGGUUGCCUGCCUUUACCCUUCAUGGAGAGCAUGCCACUCUGACACCACCACUCCUGCGACUGUCCUUUGCUGACAUCAGAAUUCAGACUGAAGGCCAGUGGCUUUUCAGGAAUCCUCCAAGCCUUCGCACCAGGUUGGGGCUUUAGGGGGUGGGCAGCUAUCAUGUUCUAAGCCACUCCCCGCUCAGUGUGCAAAUGGUAUUUGGACUGCCCAGACCCAAUUCAUGUAAGUCAGGCUAAAAGAUACCUUUUUAUUGUAUAUAUAAAAUAGCAUUGAAUUUAAUGUAUAUAUGAUUAUAAUGAAAAUAUAGACCAUAUAUGUUAUGUCUCUAUCUUGUUCUCUCUCUCUCUCUCUCUCUCUCUCUCUCUCUCUCUCUCUCACUCACUCACACACACACACACACACACUCAGCUCUUUUCAUCUAGGG
rnacentral:lncRNA from 1 species